rnacentral:lncRNA from 1 species
AACAACAAGACCACGGAAAAGCCCUGGCCCUAUCAAACCAAUCUUGCUUCCACCUUUCUCCAUACACAUACUAUUAUGAGCCGCACACAAACCACUCUUCCCUCUAGCAAACUUCUCACAUCCCCCACCUCCCCAAAACUUCUCACAUCCCCCCCCUCCCCAAGAACACCGUUUCCCACCACCAUGCGCCUUGCAAAAAUCAGUACUCCCUUGCGCACUCUUCUCACACCCAACACACUUACACCGUUUCCCA